ACCUGGCUGGCUCAGUCGGUAGAGUGUGAGACUUGAUCUUGUGGUUGUGAGUUCGAGCCCCACAUUGGGUG
rnacentral:tRNA from 1 species